rnacentral:rRNA from 1 species
GACGACGCUGGCGGCGUGCCUAACACAUGCAAGUCGAGCGGGGUUGAAGCGAGGGGUAACUCGGACUUCUACCUAGCGGCGGACGGGUGAGUAACGCGUGGGCAACCUGCCUCAAGGUUUGGGAUAACAGCUCGAAAGGGCUGCUAAUACCGGAUAUGCCUGUGGCCUCGCAUGGGGCUAUGAGCAAAGGGGAAACCCGCCUUGAGAUGGGCCCGCGUCCCAUCAGCUAGUUGGUGAGGUGAAGGCUCACCAAGGCGACGACGGGUAGCCGGCCUGAGAGGGUGACCGGCCACACUGGGACUGAGACACGGUCCAGACUCCUACGGGAGGCAGCAGUGGGGAAUAUUGGGCAAUGGGGGAGACCCUGACCCAGCGACGCCGCGUGAGGGAUGAAGGUUUUCGGAUCGUAAACCUCUGUUGUACGGGAAGAAGGAUGUGACGGUACCGUACGAGAAAGCCCCGGCAAACUACGUG